rnacentral:rRNA from 1 species
UACAGAGGUCUCGAGCGUUAGGCGGAAUCACUGGGCUUAAAGCGUGUGUAGGCGGAUCGGUAAGUACCUUGUGAAAUCCCACAGCUUAACUGUGGAACUGCUUGGUAUACUGCCAGUCUUGAGCCGGCUAGGGGCUACCGGAACAAAUGGUGGAGCGGUGAAAUGCGUAGAUAUCAUUUGGAACGCCAAUGGUGAAAACAGGUAGCUGGGGCUGUGCUGACGCUGAGACACGAAAGCCAGGGGAGCAAACGGG